rnacentral:lncRNA from 1 species
GGUGGCCUAAAGGCAAAAAUUAUAUUUCUCAGCGUACAAAUAUAAAUAUCUUAACUAAUUGCUGUAAAGCAUAUGCAUGAAUCAAAAGUUUGUACUGAACUGAAGAUAAUAAAAAAAUCAUACAGAGACUGUCAAAUGUAAAUGUUUUUCUAAAGGACGAAAUUAAGAGAAUCAAGCUUAAUAUUGCUAAGAGAUCAACACAUUACGUAUCUAUUAUAUUACUAAGAAAGCAUAAAAAAGUGGCCUU